UUCUAUUUACCACACGUAGUAAGUUCUUUUGAUCUCCUUCAAAAUAAUUCCAAACUCCCAACCUUGGAUUAAAAUACCAUAAUUAUAUUCCAAAGAAAUUAAUUUCUCUUUAUUCUACCCAGAGAUCAUAAUUGGCUUGACAGAAAUAUGAGAAAUCUUUAGUAUCAAAUACUCUUAAUAUUCUAUAAUCAUUUUUCUUUUCUUUCUCCCACAUCAUUCCAACAAAUAAGAGAUCCAUGUUAAAACAUUCCAAGUCUAAGACCAACCAAAGAAUCAUCAUCCGUAAAUGCUAAAUUUAACAUGCCCAAGAUUCUUCCAAAAGUUGUCAACAAUAGAAGAAUCCACUUGUGAGAAUUACAUAGCUACCUUUAGAUCAUCCAUAGAAUCAACAACAUUCUCCUGAAACUAACUCAAGUAUUUCAUCAUAAUGCCUUUUAGAUCAAAUAUUAAUGAUCUUAACCAGUUUCAAAAUAA
rnacentral:lncRNA from 1 species